AUAUCUUUGUCCCACGUUUGUUUCGUUGGUUCCAAUUCAAUGUCUCUCGUAUCUGCAUGCCACAAUGAAUCAGUCCAUGGAAAUGAAAAUGAAACAUUGAUCAAUCGUUUUGUCAUUCCUUUUCUUUAAUUAAACAUGGAUAAUGGACUGGCAAGCGCGUAGUCGACAAUUCUUGGUUGAUGCUGUGAGCAACAUGAUCUUAAUCGAACGAAUAUCGAAAAAUAAAAAAGGAAGAAAAUAAGAAACCUGCUGAAUCUAUGAAUAGGGUGGAACUGUUCUGUCAGCUAGAAAGCCCUCAUCAUCUUAAAAUUAAGAUGAUAAGUACUAGAAGAGAUUCUAGUCUCCCAUCACCAGUUAAAAACCAAGCUACUCCAGAACCAAAAAGUUAACAGACAAUCGAGAGAGCUAAAUAUCUUCAUAUCGAUCCAAAACAGUAUCUGAACAAAAGCUGAAACAGGCAAAUUGACAUACCAUUAUUCGCCAUUUCAGUCGGCACUCCAAAACUUUGCUAUCUUCCGUCCUUCUCAUUUGGUCUUUAGAUGUUUGUGGCAAAGACUUUUAUACACACAAGCUCCGACCAUGCGACAAUUUCAGGAUAAUAUUUUUACCAUUUGUCUCUUGUGCAGUGAGAUUUUUAUUGUUAAUGUCCACGGAGAUCGAUACUCCAAGCACGACAAAAGGUACCAAACAAGAGUCAAUGAUCGGUAAUUAAUCAGGACCUCUUUGGUUCCGGGACUAAAGUAGUCGGAUGUUUAGAUACUAAUUCGCGAGAUUAAUCUAUUAAGUCUAAUUAAUCUAUGAUUUGACCAUGUGAUGUUAUAGUAAAUAUGUGCUAAUUAUGAAUUAAUUAGAUUUAAUAGAUUCGUUCCGAUGAAUUAGCCACAGCUUAUGCUGAAUCGGAGGUAAAUACGGCCGGCCAUAUUGUAGUCUUUACCUUAUUAAUUAGCUAGGUUCACCUUUUUAGGUGUGCGGCUUUUCUUUUUCGUUAGCAUAACUCAUGGUGUGCGAGAUAGCUAAGGUUAACAAAUCUAUUUUCACUAUUUAAUUAGGCAAGCAAGGUAAUUGAGUAGCCGUACUUUGGUCCAAUUCUUUAGACUGUAUAUACUCUUAGGAUUUGUUGUAAAUGACAGAAUUACAGUUUUUAUUGGACAGAGAGAGUAUUGGACACUACUAGAAAUAUGACCUCUACUACCGGUCUCAUACCCCCCUCUAGUUCCAGUUGGGCAACCGGUACUGCCAAAUCGGUACUAGAGGGGGUCCCUCUAGUACUGGCUAAAAUAACCGGUACUAGAGGGGGUAAAAAAAUUUAAAAAAAUCACGCCGGCAGCCCCACCCCCCACCCCAACCCUCACCCUCGCUAGCCCCUCCCCUCCCCGCCGCCCCCUCCCCCGCUGGCAGCCCCCGCCGCCGGCUCGUCCCCCCUCCCCCGCCACCCCCACCCUCACCGGUGGCCCCUCCACCCCCGCCAGCGGCUCCUCCCCGCCUCUGCCCUCCCCACCACCGGCCCUCUCCGCCGGCAGCCUCCUCCUCCUCCUCCACCGCCCCAUCCUCCUCCUCCACCACGCCAUCCUCUGGAUCCACCGCCCUCCACUGGAUCCACCAACCCAUCCUCCUCCUCCACCGGAUCCACCCCGUCGCCGGCCCUCCACCGCUCCUCUACCUCCUCCGCCGCUGCCAUCUUGCCCCUCCUCCACCUCCUCCGCGGCGCCCGCCAUCGUCGCCCCGCCACGCCUGCCCCGAAGGCCGCCACCGCCAUUCCUCGCCUUAGGCACGAGGUGAGGGGCGAGCGGAGGGGGGAGGGGAUGCCGUGGAGGGAGGGAGGAGGCAGGUGGUGGAGAGGGAGAGGGAGCUGGCGGUGGUGAAGAGGGAGAAGGAGAGAGGAAGAGGAGAGAGCGAGGGGAGAGAGGAGAGCUGAGAGAUGAGCGUGCGGUGGGAGAGAGGAUAACGACAAGCAUGCGUGCGCAAGGGAGUGAAAAAAUUCUAAGUCCUCGAGGCAGGUGCAGGAGAAGCCUCUAGUACCGGUGUGUAAACCCAUUCGGUACUACAGGUGACCCUCUAGUACCAGUUGGAGCUACCAACCAGUAUUAGAGCCUCUAGUACCAGUUGGUAGCUCCAACCGGUACUAGAGGUACCGGUACUAGAGGGUUACCUCUGGUACCAGAUGGAGUCACCAUCCGGUACUAGAGGGCCUCUGGGGGCUCCCAACUUUGGAACCGAUACUAAGGUUAGGGAUGAAAGGUCAGUUUUUUAGUAGUGGGAUUAAGAGUGUGUGGACUUUAUUAUUGGAUCUAAUUAAGUAAUGUAUUAUGAAAACCAUUUUGUAAGUGUGUGUUGAUGAGAGGAUUUCACUCUGCUUUUGGGUGCGCAACUGUGAAGCUAAGGUUCUCUACUGCCGCUCUCGUUCAACAAACUAUAGUUUCCCAAAAAUGGCUAAGUUAUUUUGGAAAACCAGAUCAAUUUAUUGGACUAGAGGGGCAUUCAGAACUGUAGGGGCAACAGGUAUCUACUACCGAUUGAAAACACUACAUAGUACCAGUGAAUUUAGCUUGUAGAUUUAUUUACUACCUGUCGGUGAAAAUAACCAGGAGUUAAAGAGCAUGCUUGGUUGGUUUCCAAAAUUUGCCCAGCUAAAAUUGGGGGAUGCCCAUACAUUUUGGCACUUGUUUGGUUGAAAGCUAAAAAAUGUUGGCAAUCAUAUUUUGCCACUCAAUCAAGUGAUACCCUAAAAUUCUUGCCCAGGUUUUGGCAGGAAAAUUUUUGUCACGUCUACGUUUUGGCAUGGCAAAUUUUGGAGCUAAAUCAAUCAGACUCUAAGUCCACUUUCACUCAGUUUGUUUACUCCCAUAUGCACUAACGGAUAAGCUUCCUCUAAUCGGUCGGAUGUAACUUACGCCCUCUUCUUUAUUUGCCACAUUAUUGAUCCGCAUCUGUGACAGAAGAAGAGAUGCAGAUCCAACCCGAGGAUGUGCACGAUCACAUGAUGGGAGAACCAAUUUGUAAGUUAAUAACGCCGUUAGUGCAUUGGAUGCCAUUGGUUAGCAGCUGGGAUUUGAUCGAGACUGUACUGUUGUCGCUAUAUAUAAGGCACGUGGGCCGGUCACAUGAUGAGAGAACCAAACAAACCUUUGCGGGACCCAAAAGAUGCUCUGCCCUAUUACAGAAAAGAAGUGCAUCACAUGAUCCGCCCUUUAUAUAUACACGGGCGACACCUCACCAGUACAGCGUGUUGGGCGACGUGCACAUGCUAAUUAGUAGGGAUACUCCCUUUCUCUUCCGAUAGAUCUAUUUUACCACACAAUGACCAUAGAGAAGGAGCAUACUCCUCAUCCAAUUAACCGUGUCAUUAUGUACUCUUGUUAGCGGAAACGAUUUUCCGCAAUGACUCAUUAAUAUCUAUGCCAUCAUAUCACUACAACGCAAAUCUCAUGUAUAGAUUCUUUUGUACAGACAUUUUAUGAUUUGUCCAUAUGAAUAUAUCUUAUUGUAUUAUAAAGACACUCUUUGUGGCAUUUUAGAAAGUAUCAUGUAUAUUGAGACACUAUAUGAGUUAUUUUCAACCAUAGUGACAUAUGCUUAAGUUAUUUUGUAAAAUGCCAAUAUAGAUUAUUAGGGACAUCCUUGAGACACACUUUAAUAUUUGACCUUACUCCCAUAAAGACAUAGUUUAAUUCAAUCACUUUCAAUGUUACACUAAACGCUAAACAAUCGGUCACCUACCGUUUAGCUCUUUAUUCGGACUAAACGGCUAAUUAAACGGGUUAAACGGCCAUGAAAAGCACUGUGUAGCAUAUAAACAGCGUGUAAACAGGCUAAAUGGCCAUGUACGUGAACACUGAUCACUUUAAUAUUAAGACAUUGUUUAGGCUAUUAAGGUACUCAUAAGAACUAUACUAAGUAAAUAUGCAACAAUUAGUCUGAGGUUGGGUUAGCUAGUAGGUGGGGUAUUAUGCAGUGCGGUAUGGGGUCUCGAGUUUGAAGACCCAUCACUGUUGGCGGCAGUUAGCGCGCCAAUUUGUAUGAACCACAAGUGCACGGAUCAAUUGUAGCUUUUACCCUAGAGUAUUCCCCUAAGAUUUUAUCAAUCCGUGGAACAAGUGGGAUGCAGCGCUUAACUAAGCACUAAUUAAGAUAAUCGAAAAGCUCUAUAUAUAUGAGAAAAAUUAAGUGUAUGAAAAGAGCUAAUUGAUCUAGGUUAAAACGAGCGGAGAUAUAGAUAUAAUCGAGGUAUGUGGAACACUUGUCCAAGGGAUCUAGGAUCACCGGCAAUGCAAUAGCCAUAUCAUCUAGGGUAGAUGGGUACCAUGCUCAACGCUUUCCCUCCCAAAUAUUAUCACUACACGAGGGUAAUCAACUAUUGAACAAAAAGAACACGUUGCAUUGAUGGUUCUAGGCAUGCAAUUAUCAUAACACUGCAACCCAAAGUAGCAUUGGCCAGCCAUUUCAUGUAAAAGCAUUGUCAACAAAUAAAUGAUAACAAAUUGAUCUCAACAAAUGGUUUGGCAAUUACAAAUCAAGAUCUCCCUUCAACCCCAAGGAUAAAUAGACUUUACCCCAUGAUCCUAUAUAUGUUGACGCACAAAGAGGUAAUGAAGACUCUGGAGAUCAACCAGAUCGAAGGGGAUGACGAACAAGCACUAGAAGACCUCAGGACGAUCGGCCUAACCACCCCCAAGCUGAUCUACUAGGGGUAUUUCCUCCUCUUGAACUCCGCCUCAACUCACCUUCUGUAGAUCUGAUAUCUUCUCUAUUCCUGAACUUGUGGCAGCAGUAGAAUGGUGUACGCGCGGUUCUUGGGAGAUUCUCCUCUCUUCUUCUAACUGUGGUCCUUCAGGGGAUAUUUAUACUCCUUUUCCAGUUCGUUGGGAGGUGGAUCUGAGCGAAUAGUCGCUAGAAAAACCCUAGGAUAUUUGUAGACAUCACGCUAAAGAAAUGGAAGCACGAACAGGCCCUGGAACAGGCGAGGUCAAUCGGCCCAGAGGGUCCUAGGCCAAUGGGCCUAGGCUCUUUUUGGCCCAUCUAGUUCUCUCCUGUCAUGUGCUAGCCUUCCUUGAUGAUCCAUGUCCAGUUAUGAAUUGAGCUCCAUAUGAAAGCCCUCCGGAUAUGUUUUAUUUACUGUCAAAACACAAUAUUCUCCAAAAUACUAUACAUAUGCAAUAAUGGGGUUAUUUCACAUGCUAAGGGGCAGGUUAGUAUAAGAAUUAAUCUAAAAACACCACAUAAAAAGCACUAAAAGGGUGGCAAUAAUGAGUGCCAACAACCCCCUCACGGUUAGCUCUUGCUUAUCCUACAGCAAGUCAGGCGACCACAAACUUCCAAUGGGGUUAAACAAAGAUCUUGAAUUAAGACAACCCAAAGCAAGCGAAGCAAGUACUGAGCCUUUUAAGUAAAAAUCAGAGAAGCUGCAGAAAUAAUCCAAGUAUGGGUGUUCAAAGGAUCAUCUAAGAAAUAAUGCCAGCCCCCACAGCUUCUCAUCUAGAACUAGACAACUUCAAUCAAUGAUACUUACUUUGUGGUUUGCCAUGGAGGGUUUUUCUUCUUCUAUUGUAAAAACAAUCUCCCUGCACCAAGAAUUAUAACCAAAAUUUUAUUCCAGCUACUCACAUUAUGCACAAUACAAAGUGGCUAUCCUAUUUGAUUUGCAAGCUCUCAUCGCUUUAUAUAUCUCCUAGGUAUAUAGUGGAGCUUGGACAAGGUUAGCAAGAGUUAACACACAAUACUAUCAAGCUAAGAAAACUCUAACGGUUGCCUACCUUCUAAGCCAAUGAUCAUGAGAAUUUCCACAUAAUGAGAGGUUUUCAAGGAUGAGAAGAUAUAGAAUGGUGGACAUGUGCAAAGGCAAUAAAAAUAAGUGACUCUGAGGCAAAGAUGUCAUCCUCAUUAUCGGAAUCAACAUGGUUGGAAUGAAGAGGUCUUCCAGCCUCGGCUCAUACAGAGAAAAAUCCUAGAGCUAUCUCGGAGUACUCUACUGAUAUUUAUGAAUGUGUUUUCUUCAAAGAAAGUUCCGAGAAGAGAAGGAAAAUAAACAAAGAAAGAAAAAAAGAGAAAAAAAAGAAGGAAAAAGAAAUAGAAAAGAAAGAAAUAAGAAAAGGAGUUUUUAGUAUCGAGAAAAAAAAAGUGUAGAGAAAGAUUGCAUUACUGCUUAGAGAACGAAGGCCUAGAGGAGUCUAAGCCUAUCGGCUUGGCCUCUUCUGCCCUCCUCUUUAGCUUGUCUUGCUAGUAUAGAUAUCUUGUGAUAUUCAUAGCUUAUUUAUAUGCCAUCCAUGACAUGAGAUGGAAUAAAUCUUCAAAUAUUGGGUUGUGUUUAAGGAAAAGGUAAUAAAACUGAGAAUUUUUUGUUCAAGUUUUAGAAUUCAGUAGAUCACAUGAGUGAUCCAAUUAAGAACUCUCAUUAUUGAAUAUUGAUGAGGCUAGCAAUAAGAGAUGAUAGUAAGGACAUGAUUGAUACUUAAAUUAAAGCUUCCAAGAGAGCGAUCAUAACCCAAUUCAAUGCAUCAAUUCUGCAUAUGGUGGAUAGGAUAGGCAAAACUCUCAACCUUGUAGCAAACUGAUCAACUAGAUUUUGUAGAGGUUUUAGAUAAGCAAUUAAAACUAAAAUAACCUUCAAUUUAAACCUUACUCAUAUCCGAAUCACUAGACCAUGCUAGAGCAUGGGUAUUGCAUAGAUAAAUCAAUUACUAAGCUCCACAACAAAGAUUUUAAACUUAACACAAGGCUCAUGAUCAAAUGCUAUAAAGACAAAGUAAAAGACAAGAUUGCAAAGGUAGAAAAGAAAUUAAAAACACAUUAGCAUGAUCCUCAAAUUUUAUUCAUGCUUCUUCCCAUGAAGACUCUUGUUGGCAGUAGUUAGUGCGCUAGUUUGAAGUGCAAGCGCACGGAUUUAGUCAUAGCUUUUCCCUUAAAGUGUUCCCCUAAGGUUUAUCAAUCCAUGGAAAUAAAGUCACAUGCCCUAAACUAACUAACUAAUUCAGGUUGCAAGAUGUUUGUGAAUAGACAUGAAGAUGAGCAGAUGUGAACAAGAUGUAACUCAUCUAUAGCAAAGCCUAGACUAUGCAUAUGUUGUAGUUCUAGCUAGAUGGCAAGCAAAACAUAGUUCUCAUUCAAAGCAUCUUUAAAGCAUCAUCUUCGAUCUGACUCCCGAAAACCCCCACCUUACACGGAAGCAGACCCUGUCUUGAUCCCCCUAUCGAUGCAAGCAGUUUAAGGGCAUGAAAUAAAGCACAUGUCUAGCUGUUAUGAUAGAUCAGGCAUGCAAUUAUAGUCACCAUGACUAGAAGAACACCCUAUGCAAUCAACAAGAUUCAUAAAAUAGAAUAACCAAACUCAUAACAGUAGAAAUCAUAAAAGGAGGCAUAUGGAUCACUAUUGAAUAGGAACUCAUCUAUUAAUUCACCAGGAAUAAUUGUUCAUCACAAGAUCUCCACUAAGGUCAUACCUACGACUUAUGAGUCCUAACUCCAGAACUUUGACAUGGAUCUUCCUCGUAGGGUGAUCACGCUGGCCAGAGCCUAGCCUAAGCUAGCCUCCAGACAAACCGCAUGGCCCUCAGCUCUCUGUAGAUGGUUGUCCCUCAAGUUCCCCAGCUUCUGUUGUGAAUUGUUCUCUUCAUGCCGAUGGAGAAUUGGGAUAUUUAUACCUGGAGAGGCCGCAGUCCAAAAGGGAAAUUGAAUGGGCGAGAGAAAGGCCCAGGCCGAUCAGCCUUGCCCUUCCUUUUUUUCCUCUCACAUCCUACUUCGCUGCCAAGUCUUCUCUAAUCUUUUGGAGUCUUCUUUUGUCUUUCAUGUGGGUCUAGCUCGUCAAUAUCCUCUAGAUAAGAAUGGAUCUUGAUAACCUUCCAAAUUGUUGCUUGCUUCAUCUUGAUCCCGAGUUCAACUUGUCAUAUCUUCAGAAACUUAGCUAAGUCUUCCUAGAGGAAUGCUUGCCGAAGAUGAGCAUGAAUGGGCACCAUGGGACCCUAGUCCGAUCGGCUUAGGCUCCAUAGGCUGAUCGGCCUGGGCCUCUUUUAGGUCCAUUGGCCUUCAUCCUUUUCUAGGUUGUCAUUGAUUCUAGACUUCAUCAAAUUAUGCUCCAAUAUAGUCCAAUUUUCUGCGAAAACAGAACAUCCUCCAAAAUGCAAGGCAUAUGUGAAAAUAGCUUGAUUGCUAGGUAUGAUCAAUGUAAAUGGUGUCAUUUGUAUGCCAAUAUUGAAGAUAAACAGGGGUUAAAGUGUGUCAAUAACGAGCGCCAACAACGCUAAAGUACUGAUCUAGUCCUAAGUCUUCCCAUAAGCUUAAGAAUACUACUACUUUAUCUACUUUUGAUUCAAACCAAACACUAAUUAAGACUCACACAAAUUGACUCGACCUCGACCGAACUGACUCCGAAAAACUCAACACGAGAAGUAAACUCCCCCCCCUAAUGCUCAAAUCUUAUGACAUCCUCAUCGUAAAAGCAUUUAGUACAAAAGGGUAAGAUGCUCGUAUAUGCACUAAUCUCGCUUGCCGCACUAACACAAGGGGCGGAUGCUGCUUUCUUCCCCGUUGCUCUUGUCCUUCCUCAUGUUGUUGCACAUCCCAAAGAUCCUCCUCACAUUCUUAAGCAGGAAUUUGUUGUCAUCCUCCUAACGACGCUCGUUCUUUUCCAUCUUCUGGCUCAGCUCUUCCAUUGCCUCUUCUUGAGGAGCCGACAUUUGGUUUGAGCUUGUGAUCUUCACAAGAUUGGUGUUGAUCCCUUUCUGCCUCUUCUUGAGGGAUAAUAUGUUUUUGUCUCAGUUGUGUAGAGACGUUGCCCUUGUCUUAGGGGACCGAGACUUCGAAUUUCGAGUGAUCUUGUGUCUGCCUUUUACCCUUGGUAUUUUGAUUACUUGAAUGAGCCUUUCUUUUUUCUUUCCCCUUCUUUUCUUCUUUUCAACCUACGAAUUUGUGUUGGGUGUUGUCAAUGCACUCAUCAAGGGGGAGAUUGAGGACCAAUGGUGGUCAUCCUUAGAUGAUGAGUGAUUGACAAUGUUGUGUGGAAUGAUUUUGCUUGGCUUGUGAUGUGCAGGUGUAGGAUGUGACAUGGCGGCCGAUGACGUGCAGUGAAGGUCAAACGAAAGCUUCAUGCCGAUGGAGCAAGGGUGGUGAAGGGUAAACGUGAGUAGGCUUGAACCGAGGGACCCGAGGAGUUCAGGCAAAGUCAUGGGCAAUCCACAUGGUGCAUGGAAAAGUAAGAGAACAUGACGGGAUGGAGACGGGGUCGGUCGAGUCGAGCGGGAGGCUCGGCGGAGGUCAGACACGCGUCGACAUCGAGGAAGUCGCGUGGCAGCCAAGCGGAGAUGGCCGGUUUGGGUGGUUUGGGCCUCAAAACCACUGCGCAGGUAAGUUUCUCGAUUUGGGCCUCAAAAUCAGGGGCGAGCUCGUUGCGGCUGGAGCUUCGAGAAGGAGGGCACGUGGCAUCAUCGCGAAGCUUGCGUCGAGGCGAAGCAAAGUCGUGAAGGUGGCGUGUCCGUCCGAUGCGUCUAAAAAAACUAGACUAAAAUGCCCCUGCGUGGGCGGUUAUCCUAGUUAUAGCUAUAGGGGUAUUUUCAUCAUCAACCAGAGACUAUAUAUGCUAGAGUUGGCUAGUUUAGAUGUGUGCUUGGAACCCUAAUUUCAUUUGUUUAGAGGCUAGCCAAGUGCUUAGAGAGAGGUGAGGAGGUAGAUGAGAAUCUAGCCUCGUGAUUUAGUCAAAUUUGUGGUUCAAAUUUGUGGCUAAAUCUUUUGUUUCUUCCUUUUUCUUUUUAGUAUUUUCAGAGCUAUUUUUGGGGAUUUUUGAGAUUUAUUGGGGAAAAUUGUUGUUAGAACCCUUGUGAGCAUCUUUGAUGUGAUCUCCAAAUCCCUCACGAAUUUAGCUUGAAUUUGAGUUUUUCCCAAACCGUGUUAUUCGUAUAGUGUUUCGGUUAUCUCCAAAAUUCGUGAUGGAUACUUGAGUUUUUCGAGAUCUUUGCUAGGGAUCUAUUAGCCUUUAGGGUCAGCGUGGUCAGCGGGCCGCUCGCUCGCCAGGGUCAGGCAGCGACUCAGGCCUGCGCAGCAGCAGGGAGGCGGCCUAGCAAGCGGCUCAGCAGGCCCAGAGAAGCAGGCCGCGUGCUCCAGGCGCGAGGCAGGCUGAGCGCGACGCAGGCCGGCAGCAGCAAGCAGGCCCAGCAAGCCAUGUGCUAGCAUCAGGCGGACCAGCGACAACAGCAGCAGGCCAGCAGGCCGUGCGCUAGUGCCAGGCUAGUGAAGCGGGCCAGGUGCAGUGGCCCACACGCGCAACCAGACCAAGCACAGGCGGCCCAAGUUCCCAGGCAGACAGGCGGCCCAGCUGGCACAGAGCAGGCCACCAGGAAGACAUCCACCAAGCACAGUGAGCUUAAUCAUUUAGUCCUCUGUUAAUUCUUACACUUUACUAGUUAAUCAUUGUCAUCUUGUUUAGCUAUUUAUACAGUACUUUGCCUUGCUAAUCCUGAGAUGCUUAGUCGAGUAACCUUUAGUUAAUCCUUCCAUGUCUAAAAAGUAAGUGGUUAGUGUCUUUACUUCGUCUCAUUUGUGCAAGUUUGUUGGAGUUACUUUAUGCUUUGCUUGCGCUAUGUAUUGAGAAUAUCAAAUUGUUCCUAGGCUGAACUUGUCACGAGUUGACUUGUAUCAUCUUGACUAUUUGACGAGUUAACACUAAGUGUGUUUUGGGAUGGUAGUUGGGACGUAGGUCUUGUUCUCCUAGAAGAAUUUUAAAGGCUCCCCUUCCCCCUAUGGUCGUUUCCUUCAGUCUCCGAUGAGGGAUCAUCGGUGACGCGGAAAAUUCGCGUCUCCGAUGUGAUUUACAUCGGUGACGAAAAUUUGGUGACAUGAAUUUUUUCAGUCUCCGAUGAAAGUUGAGCAGCGUCUCCGAUGCUGGAUUGGCACCGUGGGAGCGCUUGGUGCAGCCCUUUUCUGCAGAUGACGUGUGGUCUUCUGUUGCUUGGGAGCAAGCUCCGCAUGUCCGCAAGAUCUGCGGCCUUUUGUUGAUUAUGUCGAAUCAUGUCAAGGGUCUUGGGAUCGUAUAUGGCUGCGCCUGCUCUCACCCUUGAUUGUCAUCGGGCCCUAUGGGGUAGCAGUGGCUCCCGGCUUCCACAACCCCCUCGUAGUUUCUUCCGAAACCGCUCAUGGGAAGUUGUCUGAGCUGCAGCUACUCACACUCAGCCCAGACGGCAGAGAAACAGCUCCAAAGCAGCUCCGGUCUUCUGGUGCUCCGGUAGCUCUGGAUUCAACUCAUCUAAGCGAUGGUCACGGUCAACAACCAGACCUUGAAUAAAAAAGGAGGCACAACUUACAAGAAGUCAAAACAAGCCGGUCGGAUAAAAUCAUAAGACAGGAAGGAUUUACAUGCAAUAACUCCUGGGCGUCCCGCACUGAAUCUUUUAGCGGCUCCCCAAUACGUCUAACCAAUCUCUUGAGAACAAAGGAAUAGUGACGAAUAGCAUAUUCCAGAAAUAAUACACUAUUAUGAGCCGGGUACUCUACGUUACCUCAACUCUACCGCCAAAUUCCUGACGUAAGGAAGUUUACACUGUGAUUAUUCAGAAUCCUAGCUAGUUUUAUCUCAAAGGCAUGUCAGAGAAGUUACCUAUGACAAAUUCAGCUAUAAACAACAGCUAUCACCAUGGCAUGUAUGUCUACAAAUUAAGUGUUGCCUUGCAAUGAUCCUUGUAGAGAAACAUUGACUUGGGUCUGGUAACAUGCAUGACAUGACUCAUGAAUGCGCCUUCUCGUCAUUUAUUUGCGCUCUGAGAUAUUUAUCUGAUGCAAGAACAAUUGCAGAACCAUUCUACAGCAAACAUAAGAAUGAAAGAUAAAAUUCCUCACACAUAAAGUUUUGGUCCAAACGAAAUAUCAAAUAUAAGGUCUGAGUUACUGGAACGGAGACAUCUAGCCCAGCGCCCUGCAUUUGAAGAAUGCACACGGUGGCCAGUUUAUUACAAAUUCAAAUUCGAAGGAAAACAAAAGGAUUCAGAAGACAUAUUUAAAAAUGAUGAAACACCUCAAAGACUUAACGAUGAAUAACUCAAGAGCCAGGAGUGGUGUAAGUCAGAUGAGGUUCCUCACGUUGCUCCAUUUGCACUAUUAUUUGUGUUCGCGUGAUCCACUUGGGUUCUUUGGUCUGAUUUUGACAUUUAGGUAAAUUUCCUGAUCUGGUUUUUCGAAAAACUUCCCCCAGACCUUAUCGUCAUCCACGGCCAUUGUGCCACUGUUCAAUUUUGCAAUUAUUAUCAUUGACUUAUUUUCAUCCUCGGUAUAGCCAAGUUUCGUCUUGAUUGUUUCCCUAACUUCGGCAAAGCUCAUUGUCUUGGAUGCCACAAAAGAGGUUCCAUCAACGUCCCACUCAGCUGUUACAGCCACAAUUUUUUCAACCGCAUCUGUGAAAGUGAGAAACAUGUGUAUGAAAACCAUGAAUUGAUUAAUCAAGUGUUUGAAGCUUUAAGAAAAGCAUGGUUAAACCAUCUUUUUUCCGAUUCUUUCGCUAAUGCAUGCAUGCAUUGGAUUAAUUGAUCUAUUGAGUUAUACUUGAUUGAUCAUGCCGAUAAAACUGUGGAUCUAUGUAAAUACAUGUUGAUCGAAAAGAACUAGAUUGAGGGAGUGAAGGAAAUGUCCACUUGCAUGCAACGAUUGUAAAAGUUUUAUGAAUUAGGGUUAGUUAUUGAAUUGCAAUAGAUGACCAUGAAAUGGAAAAGCAGUCAAAUAUACAGAGCUUUUUUGUGAAACAUAUCAAGUUCUCUAAUUGCAUGAUUUUUAUUUAAUUAUUGAGAAAGAGUGGGGAAUCAAAAAUCGAGAGUCAAAUGUACCUGAUUUUGGAGUUUAGAAAUUAAAGCAGCACUUAAAUGUAUGUCAUGUGCACUAUAACAUGCAUGAACAAAUUUCCUAUGGAAUAUGCAUGUACUUAUAAAUUCCAAACUGGACACUUACAAAGCAGCAUACAUGUGGUCUAUACAUAGAACUGCAAGACCAUCUUAAAAAUGGUUUAUACUGAUAAAACAUUAUCUCCUGGAACCAUUGAUAGAAUGUCAAUCAUCAGUGGUUCACACGUCCAUGGAUCUAUGAUGGAGGGUAGAGAAUUUUGUACAAUUAUGACUGUAAAAUGACAACUAACGAUUCCACAAAGUACAAUUAAUAUAAUUUGAAAUAAAAUUGCUCCUGGCUGAGAUCCGAUAUAAAGACAUAGAUGAGUAUUAGUAAAUAAAGACAUUUGACAUUUGACUGCACACUAUUUUUGCUUUAAUUUAAUUUAUAGCUACAUGCAUUCUCAAACUUGUUGAAUUCGUUACUGCGGCUAUACCUUCCACUGCUUGUUUUUGUCUUGGAACACUGGAAAGUGUUUCCGAAGGUUGUUGUGGAAUUUGCCCUCUCUUCGUAGGAAGUUCGUUUGGCGACAUACCAGGAGAACCUUUGUCAUAAACAUAACGAAGGAAAGUAAGAACUAUAGCAUUUGUUGCAUGUAUCAUUUUAACCACGUCAAUGGUAAGCCAUAUAUGCAACUACACAAGGACAUAAUAACAAAGGAUUUGGGGCUUACCACCGGUAUUACUAGCUGCAGCCGUUGUCCAAAGAGAAGAUAGAUUGGAUCCGGACAAGUGUCCGCUCCAUGGUUUAUAUAGCAUGAGCUCAUACGAGACAACAAAAAGAAUUGGAAGUGGCUUAAAACAAAACGUGAGGUUCCAUUGACUUAAAUUCCCCAGUAACCGCGACGUGGUUGGGUUCCUUGAGGUGAAAUCUGUUCACCUAGAUUCGAGUCAUAUACUCAUAUUAACAUGUGGCUUAUUUUAGAAUUUAACGGUACUACGACGUGCAUGUAAAUACCGAGAUAUGUAUGUUGAUUUUGUCAAUCUCAAGAUCUACCAGCUCAAUCUCUCGAAUAUCUUCGUAAUGAUAGAUUGUGCGUACCUUCAUUCAUAGGGGUAAGUGUGCUUAAGUCUAUGUAUAUGGGUCUAUGCUUGUGUACAGUAUUUCAAAAAAAAAGUGUUGAUAGGGGUUGGAUGUGCAUACCUACAUUCAUAGGGGGUGGUGAGUGUGCGUAUACAUAUGUGUGUCUACUUUAAAAAAAUGACAAAACAUGUAGGGUGUGCAUACCAACAGUUACAGGGGUGAAUAUGCAUAUGUAUAUGUGUGUCUCUACAUGUAUACUGUGUUUCAAUAAAGAAAAUCCCCAGUAGCCUGCACCAUUGAUGCUAGACAUCAAGCAACUUAAGUGAGCCUGACAGAGAAUAUAUAGGCUAUGUAUACGCUAGGGAAGAUGUCAGCCAUAAUGUCCAUUUGAUGACUAUUAUAAGAAAUUGUGGCUCAUGCACCAACCCAAGUGAAAAUUUUCAAUCUCCUUUAUGUUUUUCCUCAAUUCCCCCUUUAUUCUCCUCCCUCUCCCCAAAAGAAAAGGAGAGACACAUCCUCUCUUGUUUCCCUCCCGCAUCCUCUUCUGUCCGUGACUACUCCCCGUGCAUGCCUGUUCAGGUCAAGUGCUGCCUCCCUCAUGAUCCCAGCAUGUGUCGCCCUAGGCGAGGCCACGAAUAGACUGCCUGCGUAAUUCCCCCCACCUUCCAUCACCCACUACACCCAUGGCACAAAGCCGCCACCUAGGGGGCUGCCCACCGCCACGUUCACAUGUUGUUGCCUCCUUACCUGUACCGACUGUGCAUCCAUAGCUCUCAAUGUCGUUUGUGCAUUGCCCGUGUCUUGCUACUACUCAUCUAUCGACCCAGCACAUCCGCCAUUACUCACCGCGUGCACCCCAUUGAGUCCGUCACCGUCGACCUCCGUGACGGGUGCAUCCAUGUCCCUGCCUCUGCCAUUGCCAGCCAUUGCACCUGAGCCCACUUCACCGGCAUAUCGCCUCAUUGCAAGCCAGGCCUCACCACGUGUGCCGCUUCUCUACGCCAUGUGUGUGGGGCGAGAGAUAGAGAGAGACAAGAACUGACAUGUGGGUACCCACAUGUCAGUGGAGAUGAAAGGGAAAGGAUAUUUAAUGCUUCGCGCACCUACCCCGAUAUACUAAAAUUGUGAAAGAGAAUUCCCUAUAUAAAAAAAAAGUGUAUAAAGGAGAAAUGUUAGAGCUGCCACAUACUCCCUCUAUCUCAAAUUACAAGUGGUUUUGCUUUUCUAGAUUCAUAGAUUUUGCUAUGCACUUAGAUAUAUAUUAUGUCUAGAUGCUAGGUGCAUAGUAAAUGGUAUGAACCUACAAAACCCAAAACGACAUAUAAUUUGGGAUGGAUGGAGUACCUUAGAUCUAGUCUAUCAGUACGUUCAAUUGUUGUGAUGAAUAUACAACUAUAAUGCGGUGUUAUGGAAUUAUAGUUUUCAUUUAUAUUUUCUUUGAACAACUUUAUCUUAGUACGCUGCAGAAGUUGACGGAUUCUAACAAGUCUUGUCAGGUCUCCUUUUAUUUCCUUUUCUUUUCAAAGCAACCGGACCAACUAAUUGGGCAAACAGCUGGAUUUGCGCUAUUUUACUUACCAACAAAGUCUGACAAGCAAGCGAAGUGUUAAAAAAUGAAACUUCUACUACAGCCCGCAAAUACGCUUUACUGCAUGUGCAUGUUACAGAGCAAUUAAUGGCGGUGCAUACUUUAUACCGGCAUUUUUAGAGAUACAGUCAAAUACGAUGUACAUCUAUCUAACUAACAGAAGUUUGACUUCCAGUACAAAAAUAUAUCCAGUUCGUUUAAAACUAAAAGGGUGUUUGGGAACACCCUAUUAAAGUUUAACACCUGUCACAUCGGAUAUUCGGAUGCUAAUUAGGAGUACUAAACAUAAGCUAAUUACAAAACUAAUUGCACAGAUGGAGUAUAAUUCCCGAGACGAAUCUAUUAAGCCUAAUUAGUCCAUGAUUUGACAAUGUGGUGCUACAGUAACCAUUUGCUAAUGAUGGAUUAAUUAGGCUUAAUAGAUUCGUCUCGCGAAUUAGCACAAGGUUCUGCAAUUAUUUUUAUAAUUAGCUCAUGUUUAGUCCUCCUAAUUAGCAUCCGAACAUUCGAUGUGACACUGUUAAAGUUUAGCCCCUCGUAUCCAAACAGCCUCUAAAAGCUGGUUGCUGCCAGAGCAGAGACGAUAGCAUAUUCGGUAUUACUCCCUCUUCAUGUUCUUGUGCUUCCCAUACGUUAGUGGCGAUUCAACAUCUUGUUUGUUUUUAUCAAAUGAAUCAUGAAAAAAGUAAUCGUUUUUCUGAUGUGGACUUAAAUGCUGGCAAGUGUUAGAAAAAAAUUAUUCAGUCCAAAUUAGCUUUAUCUUCGAAGUCCAUUUCUUUGAUUUUGGAAUAGAGCCCUACGUCAAUUAACCCUUACAAGAUGCUACUAGAAAAUUGGCCUUUUAACACCGGCUGAUAACCCCUCCUAAGUACUGGAUGUACAACCAGUAAUGUGAAAUUGAGACUAAUAACAUUGGUCUUGAGUUUAGGGAGGCCUACACACAAUUUAUCCUAAAGUCACAGGUCAUACGAUUUUUUCCUGAAAUAUGCGCACACGGUGCAUAUGAUUCGAACACAAGACCUCUCACCUUGUAUGUAGUAUCCUUACCAUCUCAUCUACUCAGGAGAUUUAAUUUAGGUAAGACAUGCUUUCCUUAAAUUCACCCGUGGAGAUUCUAAGACCUCCAAAGGUUCCAUCCACCAUAUAUAUUCGUGCCAGUAUAUAUAUGUGGUGGAUGGAAUGUACGUAGUGAGAAGGCCACGGGUGGACCUGUGGCAGAGGGUUUCAUCCUACACGAUUGUUCCAGUUGGGGACCUAAAAGUUUUAGCAAGAUAUAUAUAUAUAAAAGACAUACAAAGAUCAGUAUGCGCUACCAGCCAAUAUAUUGUUUUUUUACCGUAAUCAGCGGGGAAGCCCAACCUAUUUUUAAUAUAAUUUUUUUAAGAUCUAUUUAAUUCGCUCCCAUAGUCGUAGACCUAUUGGAUGCUACUCAGUUGCUCUAUCCAUCCUUUCACAACAACCAAUAUAUUGUUACAAUCUUAUGAUCUACAAUACAACAAAGAUAUUUUGGAUCAAAUUCCCGUGUAAAGCGAUGAUUACAAACAACACUAACGAUGCUAUCUAUCAACAAUCGGACAAGUGAGUCCAACUAUAUGUGUGCUAGGCAAGAUAUGUCCGUCAAAAUGUCCAUUUGAUGAAUAUUUGAAAUCUUUGUGGCUCAAUAAUCUUUAGAAAACCUUUUUUAAAUCAGUCGAUAGUAGUUCUUAACUAUCAUCGACCAACACUACAAAAAACGAUUUGUAAGCGUGCCCCAUUUUCUUUUUAGGUCGGAUCGAACGGUUACCCGCUCCUACAAUAAGAAUCGGUCACCGUAGUUUCCGACCUGCCACUGGAUAUUUCCAAGGACGGAAGGGGCAUGGGGUGAGCCGCUCCUAGAAAUAGGAGCUAUUUCCAACGAACCGUUCCUGAAAAUCUGGGUGGCUUGGAUUUCCAGGAGCGGACGGAAUGGUCGCCCGAUCCUGCGAAAACAAAAGAACAGAGCCCGGCGCCUCACUCACAUGGUGCGCUCCACUCCCAUUCUACCAAACCUUAUCUAUUCUCAGAUCUUAUCUCGUCCCAUUCACCUCUAGCCUCCCUUCCACUCCUCUCUCUCCUUCUUUCUCUCUCCUCCACAGGUGGACGGCGCGUCCCUGAGCACCGGCCCUGCGGGCGGCGAGUGCGGACCUAUGGUCGGCCGGCUGGCCGGCAAGCGGCGCGAUCCCUGCCUCGGCCAGCUCCCCGGCGCAGCGCGGGGCGGGGCCCGAGACUCGGCCGGCCGGCCGGCGAGCCGCGGGGCGGGCGGUCGGCUCCCCGACGCAGCGCAGCACAGGUCCCCCUGCCUCGGCCAGCUCCCUGGCGCAGCGUGGGGCGGGGCCCCUUGCCUUGGCUCGCCGGCGCAGAGCUUCUUUGACGGCGGCGCCCCCUCGUGCUGCUCCGGCAGCCGCACCUAGGUGGUAGCGGCACGGCGGGGGGCCCCGGCUGGCGCGGAGCUGCUCCAGCAGCAGGGCGCGUCUCGGCAGCCGGCGCGCAGGCCCGCGUGGCGGCGCAUGGAGGCGAACCCCAGCGGCGGCCGUGGCAAGCGAGUGCGUGAGCUGGCCGCCGUCGGCGCAAGGUGGCCCAGCCCCAUUGGGAAGCGACACACUGGCGGCCCAGCGCCGUGGGGAAGCGACGCGGCGGCACUCGGGAUUGUAUUUUUUUGUUUUUUAUUCAACUAGGAUCGUGCCUGUGCGUUGCUACGGGCAACAAAACAUUUAUAUUAUAAUAGAAAUGCCCGUGCGUUGCUACGGGUCAUUACUUGCUGUCACGUUAUUAUACGUUUGUUCGUACCAUUUUUGAACUUUGAACAAGAAUUUUCAUUUGCAAGACCUGCGCUCUCUGUGCCCAAUGUUGCCCAUCAAGCUUAGCACAAAUAAAUAAUCGAAAACAAUCAAUGGAGUAUUUUUCAGACAUAAGGAAGUAAUUUUCCCAAUAAAAACUUUUUGUCACUUUAAUUACUAUCAGGGACACUUUUCUUGUCUAUCUUUACAUAUUUCCUAUCAAUGCUCUUCUUCCCUAACAGCAAGCAGACAGCAAGGAAAUCCAUAUGUUUCCGAGUACAGCAAUCAAGGCAUACCAUUUAGAAAGUGUGUUUUUUUUGUUUGCAGGAGAAUCACCUAUUUGAAACAGAAAUAAUAAAUGUCAACAACAGUUAUCCCACACAUUCACAAAACCGGCAACUCCAACGUUCCGCUCAGGGGUCGGACACUCCCGACCCCAGGACUCAGGGUCGGGCGAGGCGGAGCUUCACUCGGGGGUCGGGCGCAUCCGACCCCGGGACCAAGGGUCGGGCGAGGCGGAGUUCCACCCUCAAGGGGUCGGGCGCAUCCGACCCCGGGACCAAGGGGUCGGGCGCAUCCGACCCCGGGACCAAGGGUCGGGCGAGGCGGAGUUCCACCCUCAAGGGGUCGGGCGCAUCCGACCCCGGGACCAAGGGUCGGGCGAGGCGGAGUUCCACCCUCAAGGGGUCGGGCGCAUCCGACCCCGGGACCAAGGGGUCAGGCGCAUCCGACCUCGGGACCAAGGGUCGGGCGAGGCGGAGUUCCAUCCCGCAGCUAUGUAUACAGGCAAGAACGCAACCUCGAUUCCGAUCCAAGUCGGCCUCGAUUCCGAUCCGAUUCGGCAGCGAACUCUCCUGGCAGUCUGGCCCCGACUCAGCCUCGAUUCCGAUCCGAAUCGGAAGCGAGCUCUCGUGGCAAUCUAGCCUCCACUCCAAUCGCUGCCCGCUUCGCUGCCGCCUCGAGGAUGCGCUGGCCAUUACCGAGUCGACACAAUCGGCGUCGCGCGGGUCCCUGAAGAUGAUGAUGGCGUUGAUGUCGGAGGACGGCGGAAGGUCGUCGGUGGACAUGGGGUGGAGGGCGAAGGUGGGAAAUGGCCGCAGGCCCCGGAUCCGGACGGAGCGGCGGCGGGAAGUCGACAGAGGAUGAUGACGUCGAUGUCGGAGGAUGGCGGGAGGUCGUCGGUGGACAUGGGGUGGAGGGCCGGACGGAGCGGCAGCGGCUAGAUCCCCAGAGGGAGGGCGGCGGAGGAAGGGGAGGGGAACAAGGGAGCUAGGUGGAGGGCCGGACGGAGCGGCGGCGUCUAGAUCCCCCGAGGGGCGGGACCGGAGCCGGACGGAGUGCGGCGGAUCUCGAUCCCCCGAGAGAGGGGAGGGGAACGAGGGAGCGGAACUCUUUUCGCUUUAAUCCCUCGUUUUCCUAUUUUUUUCCACUCGAGCCCCCCUAUACUCAGAAUUGGACUGCGGGUUGAUAUCACAAAAUGUUAGGGGUUUUUUUGAAAAAUAGCCCGACAGACGAAAAAUCCAGGCAGAAACGUUACUUGCUUUAAUAAUAGGUAAAGAUUACACAACCUAUACAUGGCAGUCCUUCGUAAAAUUAUGGGAAAAUAUAAAACUAAAUCACCGGUGGAGACUAAGUACUCUAUAGUAGCCAAAAUCUAUUUGCAUCUACAUCACGGGCUUACCUUUUAAUCCUGCACACACUUUCACCGGUGAUUCUCAACUUCUGUCAAAAUGAAUCAUCUAGGACAAGUGCUAUCACUAAAAAUUUUGCUUACAGAAUUGUAAAUCAAAUUAGGAUUAGAAUUCUAACCAGUACAGAGCAUCACUGAGUAGGCUACCAGCUAGUAAAUCAUGCAGCAUGAUUGAGUAACCUUCCAUUAAAUUAAAUAACUAAUCGAAUUCUUAUCCAAAAUAAUAAUCAAAUUCUUGAUUUGCACAAGCCUGAUGUGUGUUUGACUAACUGAAUUCAUACUCAACUAAGAGGUGCCUUUACAAUAAUGACAUCUACAUUCUGGCUUAUACCAUUUGAUUUUGUGGGCAUCCAUUCCAUUAUCAGAUCCCUUAGUCUAUUGGAGCCAAUCAUCAAUGAGAUUCAGGCAUCACCAGUCACCACCACACCCUGCUGGCCACUGCAUGAAUGAAUCUUAUCAGCAUCGGUUAAACAAAAUCACAAAAGGUCACUCCUUUCCACAAUGUGCCCCUCAAUGAUUUAAGCCAAGACUUGAAGUUUAUUAUGAACAUUUCACCCUGCGUGUAGUAGUACAUGGACUACUUAAUCAAGUAGAUCAUCGUAGAAAUUAGGAAAACUGCAUCAUGCCUUAGUGGUGAAAAAGCAAAGGGGAUUCCAUAUUCCUUUCUUAAAAACUGUGAAGCAAGAAGAAAAUAUAAAUCACCUUGUUCCAGUUUUAAAAAGAGCUUCAUAGUGCUUGUGCAAGCAAUACCUUGAACUGAGCCAACUCCCCUGGCUCUUCGAAAAAUAAUGAAAAUAUUUCCUACCCGUUGUAAAAAUUAUGAACAUAAACAUACAUUGUUCAAAAAUUAAUAAUAAUGCUGGUACGUACCAUUUGCUUUGAUCAGAAAUUCAUUGUUGCUUCAGACCACCACUUGCUUUGAUCCUCCCAGUUCAGAAAUUCAUUGUUGAUUCAGACCACCAUUUGCUUUGAUAAUGAGACAGCCAUUCGAGAGCAGCAACUCCAAAGAACAUAGUGAAGUCAAUAAAUAGAAAACCUCCUUAAAGCAACUCAUGCAUCCAGGCACGUACUCGAUUUCAAUUGUGGAAGCAACUGUGUAUAUGAAGAGAGAACAGAAUGCAUCAUAAAAAUCAAAAGUCUAAUUAACCUUUGACAAAAAAAACAUUUGAAUCUGUACACACUUGCCAAGGCCAAAACAUCUCACCACCACUCCAGAUAAACAGAAGCAAUCAAACAUGUUUUUAUUUUUUUUUACAAAUGAAAUACCAAUGAAAAAUAAUUUCUAUGCUCAAUGCACUACAGCCACUAUAAUGAGAAUUGCACAAAUGGAUGCUAGAAGUAGGAACUAACAGAUUUACACAUGCUUAGUCUAUGUACAUCGUAUUUAAAGACUAAUUAACCAGUUAAUUACGACAUUACCAGGCUGCAAUGAGUUCCGUGACUGACAACUGCCCAGGCGUUGCUCUUGUAGGUCCCCCUCCAUCCAGUGAAACUGCAUCCAGGAUGGGGCCUAUUGCAUCACGGGAGCUCCAGCCCCCUGCCGGCAACAUCGUCGUCCCUGUCGUGCUAGUCAUUUGUGUGCUGAGUGGGAGCAUAAAAGAUCUGAACUUGGACCUUGUUUUGAAGGAGAAUGAGUGGAUCCGUUAAUUGGUAGCAAGGAGAGGUUGCUGAUAAGAUUUCAGAACGUACCUAGGAAGAAGAACAAUAGUGAAGCAAUGUUGUUUUGUAGGCAGCCGCACUCGACGGCGUAGAACCAAAGGCGAUGGGCCGGCAUCGUCCCUGGAGGCUUGGAUUUGGCCCCAACCCCGCCACCGCGGGUGCACUUGAAGAUGGUCGUGAUGGUGCGCACACGCCGGACGGCAGCCCGAGCAUGGCGGCCGCCGCCGCGGUGCGCUGGGGCUGCUGCACCCACGGGGCGCCGGGGCCGAAGAAGACUGGGUUGUGGGCGGGCGGGCACGCCGUGGAGGAGGAUGUCGGGGGCGUCACCACCUCCGACCACGCAACCGCACUGUCGCGCCGUGUCCCCGGUCGAUGGGGAGAGGUGGCGCCUCGCUUGAUCCGGCGGGGAUGGAGACCGACGGCGGCGGCGGAGUGGACAGCAAGGGUAGGGAUCUGGUCGGGGACUCGGGGUGGAUGGAGGGGAGGGGACUGCUGGCGGCGGCUGCGAUGCUGGGCGAGGGAGGAGGAGUAGGCGAGCGAGGGGAACAUCGGAUGGCGGAGCGUGAAGCGCGGAGCGCGAGGAGGGGCAGCGGACGGCGCGCACGGUGGGCUUCAAGGCGUUCCAUCGGAGGGCGGACCGGGAUGCGCGGAGGACGCGGGAGCAAGUGGACGGGUGAACGGAGCGGAGGGGCAGACGACGUACGAAGUUUUUUCUCCUCUUUGGUUUUUUUAAGAGUAGAGAUUUCUUCGGGCCGGUCUCGACAUAGCCCGUCACUGGAAAUAGCAUUUGCAGGGCUAGAUCGCCCGCCUCUGCAAACAGCAAUUUCUUUCACAGAAGCGGGCAUCCCGCUCGACCUUGCAAAUACCAUUCAACCGCUCCUGUGCAAACUUUUUUUAAGUAGUGCAACAUAUUCAAAUUAAUUUUAUUCAGCUUCUAUUUUGGUAGGCUGAGAUAAGCAUAAACCCCACAUUCUGAAUGAAUAAGUUAAAAAUGAAGUUUUCACUAAAGAUGUAUUAUUUAUAUCUACUAAACAAAAUGGAUCUGAAUUUGAGAUUCUUUUAUUAUAGUAGCAUGACUGCCUGAGGAAAUGGUCAUGUCCGCAUGCGCUUGCGCGGAGAGGCUGGUGGCUUAGCUGCUUCUGCGAAUGCUAUACCAGCAUGUACAUAUAGUUUUUGUAGUUGUGAUCAAACCUCUGAAUUAAUUUUGGGAAUUUUUCCUUGAUAGAGACAGCAUCCUCCCUCAUGUUUUUAAAAGCGUUUAUGACAAAUAGGCAAUAAAGCUUUUAAAAUUAUGACUUGCAAUAUGUUUUGCACAUUUCGACAUGAUAGGUCAAACAGAACAAAUGUGUCAAAAUUCAUUCAUAGUAAAGUAGUUUUGUUGGCAUACCUAGACAUAUUGAAAUCAAAAUUAUUUGUGUUGUCAAAGUUAUGUUUGGAAACCAUGUCAGUGCAAAAAUAAAAUCUACUUUUCAUGAACAGUCACUACUGCAGAAACAAGCUGUACUUCGGUUCUAAACCAUUUGUACUGGCGGUUUUUGAACAGACUGUAAUGAAACAUGCAUCUGUCCGAAUAGGUAUUGGAACAGACGGUACAGCGGUUCUAGCCACGAACUGUCUUCAAAAAAAUAGAUUCUUACACAAAAAAUAGGAAAACAAAUUUGCACAAGAAGUGUCCAAGGAAUCUUGUUUGCCCUAUAUUUCCAGAAGUCUUCGAUUGACAAUUGAACCUGUAAUUGCGUGCUCGCGCAUGGUGCUCCAUAGCCACUCCACCUAUGCAGUAGAUAUUGGAGAGAUGUUUUUCCUUUUAAUCAUUAUUAGCCGAAACUUUUGAUGAUAAUUUAGAUAUAUAAACAACUUCAUAAAAAAAAGUUGUUUAACUACAAAGUUGGGAUUUCGAUUCCAUUUGUUGAGUUUGUUGCUCUAGUGGUUUUAUUGCUUGUCAACCAUAGACCUUGUUUUCAGCUCGCGGAUUAACCCAAAUACAAUGAAAGUUUUGCCCUAUGUUUGAUCUUUUGUUGAGAAACUUUGUUCAGCUAGGUUCAAUGUUUGGGUAAAAAUAGUUUUCUAUUAGAGGUGAAAGAAUAGUGUGUACCUAGAAAAUAAAAUGUACGAAUAAGUGUUUUCAUAGUCGGUUUGCGGAUAGAAAUUGAGUUAAUGUCAUUUUUAGUAGGUUUUUGUACGGUGAAAAUGCCCUUGAACUUUACCGACGGCUGAUGCCAUUUUCACAGACGAUCUUAAAUUGCCAUCGAUUGUCGAAAGUAUUUGGCAAGGCACUUAGGUCAAAUCCGACUCUGUUGUUUUUUUUAGAAACGACUGUACAGGUGGAUUCUUCAAUAUUGAGUUGAGAAAACAAAUUAAAUCACAUUUUUACUUGAGACCUUACCUGCCACACAAGUCGGUCAAUAGCAUCGAUUCUUGUGUAGAUCCAACUAGUACGAUAUUUAUAGUUUUCGUUUACCUGCCACACAAGUCGGUCAAGAGCAUCGAUUCUUGUGUAGAUCCAACUAGUACGAUAUUUAUAGUUUUCGUUUACAUUUCCAAAGAACAAUUUAUGUCUUGCGUCGAGGAGCUGACUCCACAAGAUUACCUUUGUCACCUUGUCACAUCGAAUAUUCGAAUGCUAAUUAGGAGAACUAAACAUUAGCUAAUUAUAAAAUUAAUUGCAAAAGCUCUAGGCUAAUUCGUGAGACGAAUCUAUUAAGCCUAAUUAAUCUAUCAUUACCCAUGAUUAAUGUAGCACCACAUAGUCAAAUUAUGGAUUAAUUGGGUUUAAUAGAUUCAUCUCGUAAAUUAACCUCCAUCUGUGCAAUUAUUUUUUAAUUAGUCUAUAUUUAAUAAUCCUAAUUAGUAUCAAACAUCCGAUGUGACAUUUAGCUCGUAGGAAACAAACACCCAAGUCUCCUUUUAGUUACUUUUCUUUGGGAGUAAACAGACGAGGUGGGCAAACAACUGGGUUUGAUGUAUUUAAAAUAUGCAAGUAUUUUACUUAUACCGAAGUCUAACAGGCGAAGAGUUACCGAUGAGAUUAUUUCUAUUACAGAGCCCGCAAAUACGCUUCGCUGCAUGUGCAUGUUACAGCGCAAUUAAUGGCACUGAACAUUUUAUACCUGCACUCAGAGAGUCAGAUGCGAUGUACAUCUAAAAAGUUUGGUUUCUUGGAUGGUCAGAUUUAUCGUAUAUUUAGAGGGUGUUUGGGAGAUAGCGGUUAAAAUCGGAUGUUUGACACUAAUUAAAAGUAUUAAAUAUAGGCUAAUUAUAAAACUAAUUGCACAACCUCUAGGCUAAAUCGCAAGACAAAUCUAUUAAGCCUAAUUAGUCCAUUAUUAGUGACUUUGACAUUAUGUAGGCUAGUGUAGAGACUUUGAUAGUUGGGCCAGUGCAGGCUAUGAUGUCCGUGCAUGUCUUUUUCCAUUUGCCAUUGUGGACAGGGUCCAUGGGUCCUGUCAGUAGCGUUCUAUAUAUGAGACAUUCAGGCAAUGUUCAAACGCACUACUAACACUUCCCAACCCGAAUCCACCGUUUGUAGUGAGGUUGCGUCUCCCUCUAAGAAAUGUCAUCGUGGAGGGAGGAGAAAAAUGAGGUUCCACCAUGGAGUGAGCACCCCAAAUGCCACCGCGACUUCCGUGCGUGGUUAUAGGUACGGGAGGAUCGCAUACCUAGGGGGAAGAAGGGGUGUAGGUACUUCAAGUGUCCCAACAUUGACGAUGAUUUCAAGAUCAGGCUGUUCAUAAACAUUUUGAAUAUAUUUUACCUUGAACUAAUCAGGAAUGAACAUGCAGGCAUGCACGUUCACGGAAUGUGAUGAGGACAUCACUCCUUUGGAUGCACACGAUACUCCUCAAGUUGUACAAGGACCAAUCACUCGAGCUGGAGCACGACAAAUGAAUCAACAGGUAAGCUCGUUUUUAGGUAUGUCCUUUCAUGAUUAUAAGAAUGAGAUACUACCUAAUGAUAUUAUUGUGAUUAGGAACUUAGGAGAGGACCAGUAAGGACAUGGAGAGAGUUUUGGAAGUGGAAGAGACCAGCGAGGGCGCCCAAAUCAAGUUGGAGAUGCAAUACAACUCGGGUUCGUUUCAGCCUCGGAUUUCAGGAGUAGCAAGUAGUAAAUUGGACGCUCCGGUGGCAUACGGAGGCCGUUUUGGACGUUCUUUAUAUGGAUGGAAAGAUAAUUUCGAGGAGCUUCCAAUAGCACCAGUCCACUGCAAAAUACGGCCGGAGUCAACAGGAAUCGUCGAAAGAAGUUGACGUCCAGAAUCUGUCUGGGUGCUGCGUCACCAUCUUUGGGCCGUUGGCCCAUGUAUCCUGUCGAGCCCAUUAGGGGGCGCGUCCCUAGGGGUAUGCACACCCCAAACCCUUAUUUCCUCAGUAGCCGCCAUCCUUCGAGGGUUAGGUUUUUCUUAGAUUCAUUCUUCAUGCUUUUUGAUGGAGUUCGCCUUGCACCGGACCGACUAGGCUGCUGCAAUUGGUUUAUGAAACCUCAACUUGAGUGCUUAAUCAUUCAUCUGCAAUUCGGAUUGUGUUCUUCUCGUUCUUGCUUGUGUUCUUGGAUUCGCUUGCAGGGAUUAGCCUUCUUGGCAAGGUCAUCCGCGUCCUGGAUGGGGGUGAUAACCAACGGAGCAGUGGUGUAACGAUCAUGGGGUGAAUCUGUUUCGGCAGGAGCCCUAAAUCGCCAACGUCGAGUCUCCACAAAUCCAACAUACCCUACCUACUGGAAGAUCGGGACCAACACCCCUAUUAGCUGGUAUCAGAUUCACAGGUUUCCCAUUAGGUAAUUCUCGUGAUCUUCCUUUUACUGUCCUAGAGUCUACUAGCUGAAAAACACAACAAAAAAUCCCGUCCUAUAGCCCCUUUGUGCCUUUCCAAUUUUAAUUUCAGUGUUGCUUUAUUAAAUUUGUGUCCGUAGUUGAGUCUUUGUUGCUGGUUUAGAUUGUGUCCAAGUCUGGUUAUGUUUUUCCUUGUGCCGCCACCCAUCUCGCAUCGUCGCCAACCCUAGCCGCCACAUUUGUGCCACCGUAAAACCCUGAUUUCGGGGCAAAUGUUGAAACGGCCAUAACUUUCUGCUCGGAGGUCGAAACGGGGCAAUUUUUUUUCACGGACAUCUACAGAAAAUUUCCUACGUGGUUCUCCCCCACUUUGUCCAGUUCGGUGAAAUCAGAUUGCCGUAAUUCCCUUUGCAAGAUUGUGUUUUUGAGGUUCAAAGUUGUUUCUUCUCAUUUUCUAGUAUCUUCGUGAAUUUCCCUAGCUCACAUCUAUUAUCCACAUAAGUUGAAACUUGGUGUGCUUGGUUCUUUUGGUUCUUAGGUGCUCCUGGUUCAGAAAAAAAUAUUCAAAAACACAAAAAAGAAAAAAAAACAAAGAGAC
rnacentral:lncRNA from 1 species